rnacentral:tRNA from 1 species
UAACGUAUAGCUUAGUUGGUCAGAGCGCGUGGACGGUUUCUAAGAGACGCAGGUUCAAAUCCCGCUACGUUAA